UGGUGGAAUAAUGUAUUGAGAUGGGAGUCGUAUUUAAAUAAAUGUAUCAUAGAAGAGAAAGUCACCUAAAGUUAAAUGUAGGGAAUAACGAAGAGAUACGAUGCAAUUUCAGGCUAUCCGGAUGUUAUAGCUAUUUAUGAAUCGACUGACAUACGAUAAAUUUAGCACAAAACAUGAAGCCUCCUGGGAUUAUAAUCUUGGGGAGAGUGGGGGAGAGAGCGGCCAUAAACGACCAAAUUGAAAAAGGUCUGGAAGUCUUGAUUAUCCAUUAAGGUUUGCAAAUAUAUACACAUAAAACAAUUGUUAAUACUAUUUGUUUUAGUGCAAAGGUAUUUUAAAGAGGCACGCUCACAUAUGGAACCUUUUGAGUUUUUAUUUUAUGGGUUUUAAUUACAAAGGUGAUUAUUUUUAUUUUAAGGAUAAAGGGUUCUUUAAUAUGUCUAAUAUGGUAUGGAAACAUGACUAAAAAAGGGUGGUAUGACCUUUUGACCUUAUCGUGGCUAUCUUUUGGGGUCUGAUCAGCCCUGGGGGAGAGCCAUUUGUAUAAUGAAUUGUGGUCAGUUGGGUUUCUAAUUUUAAGGUAAAUUAGUUAUAAUGGAGUGUUAGUUUGGGGUUUAGAAUUAUUGUUUGAAACACUGAAGCUGAUUUACAAUAUUAGCUGUGAAGUUUUUGAAUUGGCUAUUAUGGAUUUGAUAUUACAACAGAAAAUAGUUAUAUUUAUCAUUGAGAAUAAAUAGGGGUGAUAAAUUACUGUAGAUAAGGUAUUCCACACUAUGCAACAUAUAUUAAAUUCAUGUUAUUGUCAGAUAGGAUACUGAGGAUCCCUGAAGGAAAGAGCUUGUAAUUCAAUAUGGUUAGCAUUUGUUUUUUCUAAAAUCAAUGAUUUUAGAUAGUCAAACAGUGAGACAUGUAGUUCAAAUUUGGAAACAUGAGAAAAAGAGCUACAGACAGAUAGGGGGAAAAGGCAGACAGAAGAGCCCUCCCCCGCACUGCAGAGACCUUGAAGGUUGGAGAGCAGAGAGGAGAAGUUUUAGAAGUGGAGCCAGGACGAGCAAAGAUACAGAAUGUGUAGAUAACAGUUACUGAAUGGAGACAAAAGGGACAAUUGGACAUAUACAUGAUAAUGUCAGAAAAUAAGGAUAAUUUACUAAUCCUACCUAAGUCAUUAUUUAGGGUAUAUAAGGUUGUUACCUGGGCAGAGCCAGGUAUCAAAAGGGGGGUGGGUAAGUUAGUGGCCUAUUGGAUAUAAGAAACUAAUAAUAAAAUAAAAAACAUUUUUAGCAAACAAAUAGGCAUAUAAGUUAAAGAUAUAAUCAGAUAAAACAUAGGAGAAAAUGUUUGUUAACCAAGCCUGUAUGUCCAGGAUUCUAUGCAUUACAGGUGAACUACAGGUGAAGUCACUCAAUCCAGUCCCAGAGGCUUGUUGGGGGGACCAUACCAAGGACUCCUGGUGACAGCUAGCUGAAAGAGCUACCCAGAUUCGUAUCGCACGGUGGGAGGGUAAGACACAUUGACACUGUCGAACAAUAAACAGUGUUCGAGAGGAGAACUGGAAUUAACAGAAUUCCGGGGGCCAUCUCUCGAAUGAAGAAAAUCCUUCCUGUCUUUUCAUCCCUGUUUUUGUUCAUAGAAGUGAAGGUGUGUCUGGCGCUUGCUAAGUGAUGUGUUCUCGGGGAGAGGGUGGGGCUUCACAUGGAAGCUGUUCAUCUGAGCUGUCUUAUCGUGGGUGACAUAUUCCUGAUACAGCACGUCCUACUUGAGUAUGCGGAGAGUGGUAAUUUGACCCAUGGUUUAGACGAUGAGGAUUUUGUUCCAAAAUAAGCAUAAGAGAUCCCUAGAUCUGGGUAGACAGGAAGUUAGAGUAGAGGUUGGGAAGGAUCUCUCAAUGGAGUUUUAUGUAGACCAACAUGGAGUCUCUAACUACAUGGCAGUCUAGGACUCUGAGCCAUUAUGGCAUAUAUCGGUGCAGGUUCCCAUAUUGAUCGUGGACACAGGUCAUAGCUCAUUUGGAGAGAGAGGGUUAAUAUGAAUCCACUCACCCAGUAUGGAAGAAGGUAGAGUAUAGUGAAGGUGAGAGUUUUUGAUUGUAAUCAGGAGAGAGGGAUGUAUUGCAUAAAGAUACCCCUAACCCUUUAAACAGAAAUGAAGGAGGAUCUAGGGUUGUGGUAUGGACAUGACCAGGUCUUGGUCGACACCCUAGUACGGUUCUGGGUAGAGGAGUUUAGGCCGGUAUGGUAAAGCUGUUCAUUCACCUGUGUGACUGUUUAGUUUUAUGGGGCUGUUGUCUAAUUCCCUGUGUAUGAGGCCUUAUUUCCAGGACUCUGGAGAAAUCGAUGACAAUAGAUGGUGAGAUACCAGGGGAUUCCAGGUUCAGACCCGCGGAGUGCUGAUUGUAUGUCUACAGGACAAGUGGACGAAUCUGGAUCCUUCAGUUGCGGGCAAUUUAUGUUUGAAGAGACCAUUUUUGAUGUUUAGGUUGCAUCCCAUCUAGGUUGCAUCCCAUCUCAAUAUUAGACUGUUUUUUUAUGAAGAUUGUAACGAAAAUCCUGAUAAGAAGAGUUAUGAUUCUGAUGUAGGCCUGAGAAACAGUUAUGGCGAAUGCAAGUAUGGGGUUAUGUUUAGGUGAUGUUUUGAUGACAAGAAAUAUCUCUAAUAAAAAUAAAAUUUUUAUCAAUGAUGACUAAUUAUGUAUACAUUUCAAUCAGGACUGAAUAAUCCGAAUACUGUUAUGUUACUGUACAUGUAUGAAUUUUCUCUCUUGCUCCCAGUAUUGAAUAUAAUGUAGUCAAGAGUUUAGAACAAUGAUGGCCUGUUCCUUGGUACAAAUAAAUGAACUAUCUCCAGAUGGCAGGGACGGACUAUCUCCAGACUGUCUAGAAUGCUUAUCUACACUGACUGACCUUGGCUCUAGGCGAGGAGGGAAGGCUUGAGAUCUAUAGAGCCUUUCUACCAGUGUCAAGAAGAGACGGAACAUUUAGAAAACGCUGACGUCAUUUUCAGUUCAUAACCUGUGGUAAAAUGUGUAUGAACUCAGUACUCUCUUGAAUUAAAGGCUGUUACUUGACUUUUAA
ensembl:lncRNA